rnacentral:rRNA from 1 species
AACGAACGCUGGCGGCAGGCCUUCACAUGCAAGUCGAGCGCGCCUUCGGGUGAGCGGCGGACGGGUUAGUAACGCGUGGGAACGUGCCCUUCUCUACGGAAUAGCCUCUGGAAACGGAGAGUAAUACCGUAUACGCCCUUUGGGGGAAAGAUUUAUCGGAGAAGGAUCGGCCCGCGUUAGAUUAGGUAGUUGGUGGGGUAACGGCCUACCAAGCCUACGAUCUAUAGCUGGUUUUAGAGGAUGAUCAGCAACACUGGGACUGAGACACGGCCCAGACUCCUACGGGAGGCAGCAGUGGGGAAUCUUAGACAAUGGGGGCAACCCUGAUCUAGCCAUGCCGCGUGAGUGAUGAAGGCCUUAGGGUCGUAAAGCUCUUUCGCCUGUGAUGAUAAUGACAGUAGCAGGUAAAGAAACCCCGGCUAACUCCGUG